UGGUUCUGGCAUNGAUGAAGAACGCAGCGAAAUGCGAUAAGUAAUGUGAAUUGCAGAAUUCAGUGAAUCAUCGAAUCUUUGAACGCACAUUGCGCCCUCUGGUAUUCCGGGGGGCAUGCCUGUUCGAGCGUCAUUGCAACCCUCAAGCUUAGCUUGGUAUUAGGCCUCACUUUAAGAGUGUGCCGCAAAAGCAGUAGCGGUGCCUGUUGGCUUCAAGCAUAGUAAUCUUUCUUGCUCAGAAGUCUACUGUGUACUUGCUAGAAUCUUUACACAUAUCAAAGGUUGACCUCGGAUCAGGUAGGGAUACCCGCUGA
rnacentral:misc_RNA from 1 species